rnacentral:rRNA from 1 species
AUUGGGACUGAGACACGGCCCAAACUCCUACGGGAGGCAGCAGUGGGGAAUAUUGCACAAUGGGGGAAACCCUGAUGCAGCGACGCCGCGUGAGCGAAGAAGUAUUUCGGUAUGUAAAGCUCUAUCAGCAGGGAAGAAGAAAUGACGGUACCUGACUAAGAAGCACCGGCUAAAUACGUGCCAGCAGCCGCGGUAAUACGUAUGGUGCAAGCGUUAUCCGGAUCUACUGGGUGUAAAGGGAGCGCAGGCGGAAGGCUAAGUCUGAUGUGAAAGCCCGGGGCUCAACCCCGGUACUGCAUUGGAAACUGGUCAUCUAGAGUGUCGGAGGGGUAAGUGGAAUUCCUAGUGUAGCGGUGAAAUGCGUAGAUAUUAGGAGGAACACCAGUGGCGAAGG